UAUGUAUAGUAAAUAACACGCGCAUUAGAGUAAGUUUUCCGUGAAAUUAAAUCAAGACAUCCACGAUCUGCACGGCUUCUGAGGAAUGUCGUUCCUCGCAGGCUUUGCCCACAAACGGACUCACACGGUGGCGCCUUUCACGCUGCCUGAUUAGAAACACCGUAUGUCUUUUGCAUGCACCCUAGCGAAAACAGCAAUUAAUCUAUAGUUCGACUUUUUCCACUUCUUUGCAAGUCUGAAUGCUAAAUGCGUUGCAUUUAGACGUCAAGUACAUAACCACGUAUAAGUAAAUUCACAGGCGGCUCACGAACGAUACUCCUGAGGGGUCCCAUGGCUUGAAGAUUUGGGUACCCGCUGUAGGCUUUACUGUGAAAAAAUAAAAACAAAAACAGAAAAAUAAGGAAAUGGCAGACGAACGUGACCUAGAAAGACAAGCUGUGGAGGAGCUUCUGCAGGAGGCUGGGAGAGGCAGAGUACGAGCCCAGACCAUGGGACCGGCGGGCUGGAUGAGGUGCCCCCUCCGUGGAGCUAACAAGAGGUUCCUGCUGAACACUCUUCGCACAAUCAGCAGGCCAGGUCGGAGCCUGAGGCCACGACACAGCGACCAAUCAGGGAUUCAAAUACAGGAGGUGGAGCAAAAAUCUAAGUCACUCCAAUCCGGAGAAGCUCAGCACUCAAGGUCUAGAGGCCGGUCUCCCUCUGGGCAGCACAGCAGGGGGCACUCACGUUCUCCUGUUAAGGGUUCGAACUGCAGUUUGAAGUCAUCAAGCCCAACCCCUAAGCCAUUAGACUCCACCAAGCCCCGUUACUCCCAUCCUAAAUCCCGGCCACAAGGAUGUACUGAUCUUCAGGAGUGACCUCAGGUGUGCGUGUGCAAGUGUGUCUAUGUGUGUGUGGGCGUCUGUUUGCUUCAUUAUAGCUGUAUAGUAUUUUGAACCCACAACCUUGAAAUAAGUUUUAAUAAAAACAUAUUUUUAAGCUUCGUAGAUAAAGAGAAGAAAUAAGGAUUUUGAGGUGUGAUUGUGCAGAAGUCUACUGGAGCAUUUAGUGUGACUGUGGGCUCUGAGGUAUAGCUGGAUGGUCUCCUAUCUAGGGAAGAGCUCAGUGUGACUGUGAGCUUAGAGGUACAGCAGGACUAUCUCCCAUCUAGGGAAGAGCUGACUGUGAGCUUAGAGGUACAACUGGACUAUCUAUCAUCUAGGGAAGAGCUCAGUGUGACUAUGAGGUUAGAGGUACAGCUGUACUAUCUCCCAUCUAGGGAAGAGGGCAGUAUGACUGUGGCCUCAGAGGUACAGCUGUAUAGAUUUAGGUUUUUCUCAUUUUGUAUGAUCUUGGGUCCUGUGGUGCCCAUAAUUAUAUUCCUUAUAAUUAUUAAGCAUAACUAUAUGCUUAAUGAGCCAGGGUUAACUGGACUGUUCAUUGUUUAUAAUGAUAAUUCAUAAAGUAAGUAAUUUUAAUAAAGGACUGGCCUGUCCCUACUGCUGUAGUUUGUGGCCUCGUACACACAGGGGUGCUGGGUUUGCAGCACUUUAAGUUCUCAGUGGUUGAAUGUGGAGGACACUGCAGCAAGGUGGGGUGUGUCUGAGGCAUGGCGUGAAGAGUAGAGCUGCCUUGAAGGACUGGCAAGUGAAGCUGAGUUAACUGAGAGGAUCUUGUCCAGAGUUGCAGGCUCUGGACGUGUGGAGCCAAACGUAUGAUUAAUGGCAUGGAGUUUGCAGCCCUCCUGCAACAAGGUUAUUCCCAUUAAAGUGUCGUUAGCAUUCCGCAGGGGUUAGUCUCUUUCUUGGACAUAUUUACACAGCCAGUACUCUGUCGCCACUGGAAGGGCGGAUUUAUCGCGGCUCAGACUCUUUGCGACACUUCCCCUGUUAUCAGGACCAUUGAGCUGGGCUGUGGGAAGUGAGCCGGACUGGGCCUGGUGCUGCUCAGAAUGGCAGUCCUGCCAUUGUUACUGUCUCUGUACUUCAGAGUAGGCGACAGACAUAUACAGAAUUAGCUUUGUCAGAGAGAACCUAUUUCACUUUCUUUAAAAAUGUAAAAAUUAUAUUUAAAAUUUUAUUUCAUGAACUAAAGGUGUUCUGUGUGAAUAACGAUUUUAAUUAUUUAAUAUAUAAGCGGUCCACAAAUCAUUGACUAAAAUUUUUUAAAGAAAUAUCUAUAAAAUAAAGCCGUUGUUCCUUUUUUGGUUACUUUUGUGGGGUAUGUGUCUCAAUGACAAUGAGUCAUAUCAUCUUACUAAGACAUUAAAUAUGUAUUUUACAAGA